CGGGUGCGGACACGUGUGGCACCCCGCCUUUAUCUGGGGGAUAGCUUUCGAAAAGAAGAUUAUACCCAUAUAUGUUGAAUGGCAUCAUUCGACAUUGAAACUCGGUGGAUAGAAGAUGGCACGCGCCAGAUAAUUAGUGGUGAGUACGGCUCACCAGUCUACGAUCUUUAAGGGGCCUGAAGGUGAUCCCCACACUGGUACUGAACCGGGACCAAACUCUUACGGAAGCAAUGAAGGAAUUAUUUGGACAUGGGUUGAGAGCCUUGAUUCCAGCCCAUCCCCGCGUGAAAGGGACGACUGGCCCUAUGGGUUGUAAACUUUCUUUUGUAUAGGGAUAAACCUACCCUCGUGAGGGUAGCUGAAGGUACUAUACGAAUAAGCACCGGCUAACUCCGUGCCAGCAGCCGCGGUAAUACGGAGGGUGCAAGCGUUAUCCGGAUUUAUUGGGUUUAAAGGGUCCGUAGCGGAUCUGUAAGUCAGUGGUGAAAUCUCACAGCUUAACUGUGAAACUGCCAUUGAUACUGCAGGUCUUGAGUGUUGUUGAAGUAGCUGGAAUAAGUAGUGUAGCGGUGAAAUGCAUAGAUUUUACUUAGAACACCA
rnacentral:rRNA from 1 species